rnacentral:rRNA from 1 species
CCUACGGGUGGCUGCAGUGGGGAAUAUUGCACAAUGGGGGGAACCCUGAUGCAGCAACGCCGCGUGGGUGAAGAAGUACUCCGGUAUGUAAAGCCCUGUCAGCAGGGAAGAAAAUGACGGUACCUGACCAAGAAGCCCCGGCUAACUACGUGCCAGCAGCCGCGGUAAUACGUAGGGGGCAAGCGUUAUCCGGAUUUACUGGGUGUAAAGGGAGCGUAGACGGUCCUGCAAGCCAGAUGUGAAAGCCCGGGGCUCAACCCCGGGACUGCAUUUGGAACUGUAAGGCUAGAGUGUCGGAGAGGCAGGCGGAAUUCCUAGUGUAGCGGUGAAAUGCGUAGAUAUUAGGAGGAACACCAGUGGCGAAGGCGGCCUGCUGGACGAUGACUGACGUUGAGGCUCAAAAGCGUGGGGAGCAAACAGGAUUAGAUACCCCUGUAGUC